rnacentral:rRNA from 1 species
GACGUAGGGGGCCAGUGUUGUUCGGAAUUACUGGGUGUAAAGGGUUCGUAGGCGGUGCGGCAAGUUGGGAGUGAAAUCUCUGGGCUUAACCCAGAGGCUGCUUCCAAAACUGCUGGGCUUGAGUGUGGGAGAGGCGCGUGGAAUUGCAGGUGUAGCGGUGAAAUGCGUAGAUAUCUGCAGGAACACCCGUGGCGAAAGCGGCGCGCUGGACCACUACUGACGCUGAGGAACGAAAGCUAGGGGAGCAAACAGG